GAUGAACGCUAGCGGGAGGCCUAACACAUGCAAGCCGAGCGGUAUUGUUUCUUCGGAAAUGAGAGAGCGGCGUACGGGUGCGUAACACGUGUGCAACCUGCCUUUAUCUGGGGGAUAGCCUUUCGAAAGGAAGAUUAAUACUCCAUAAUAUAUUGAACGGCAUCGUUUAAUAUUGAAAGCUCCGGCGGAUAGAGAUGGGCACGCGCAAGAUUAGCUAGUUGGUGAGGUAACGGCUCACCAAGGCGAUGAUCUUUAGGGGGCCUGAGAGGGUGAUCCCCCACACUGGUACUGAGACACGGACCAGACUCCUACGGGAGGCAGCAGUGAGGAAUAUUGGUCAAUGGGUGCUAGCCUGAACCAGCCAUCCCGCGUGAAGGACGACUGCCCUAUGGGUUGUAAACUUCUUUUGUAUAGGGAUAAACCUACCCUCGAGAGGGUAGCUGACGGUACUAUACGAAUAAGCACCGGCUAACUCCGUG
rnacentral:rRNA from 1 species